rnacentral:rRNA from 1 species
CUACGGGAGGCAGCAGUAAGGAAUAUUGGACAAUGGGCGAAAGCCUGAUCCAGCCAUGCCGCGUGAGUGACGAAGGCCUUAGGGUUGUAAAGCUCUUUUGGCGGGGACGAUAAUGACGGUACCCGCAGAAUAAGCCCCGGCUAACUUCGUGCCAGCAGCCGCGGUAAUACGAAGGGGGCUAGCGUUGUUCGGAAUCACUGGGCGUAAAGCGCACGUAGGCGGACUAGUAAGUCAGGGGUGAAAUCCCGGGGCUCAACCUCGGAACUGCCUUUGAUACUGCUAGUCUAGAGUCCGAGAGAGGUGAGUGGAAUUCCUAGUGUAGAGGUGAAAUUCGUAGAUAUUAGGAAGAACACCAGUGGCGAAGGCGGCUCACUGGCUCGGUACUGACGCUGAGGUGCGAAAGCGUGGGGAGCAAACAGGAUUAGAAACCCUAGUAGUCC